rnacentral:tRNA from 1 species
UAUUCCCGUAGCUCAGUGGCAGAGCGCCCAACUUAUAAUUGGGAGGUCGCUGGUUCGAUGCCAGCCAGGAAUAU